rnacentral:rRNA from 1 species
AAUCAACGCUGGCGGCGUGCCUAACACAUGCAAGUCGAACGCGAGAGGGGCUUCGGCCCCGAUUGAGUGGCGAACGGGUGAGUAACGCGUGGGUGACCUACCUUCGAGUGGGGGAUAACGUCCCGAAAGGGACGCUAAUACCGCAUAACAUCCUGCUUUUGAAUGGGUGGAGAUCAAAGCCGGGAUCGCAAGACCUGGCGCUUGAUGAGGGGCCCGNGUCUGAUUAGCUAGUUGGGAGGUAACGGCCACCAAGGCAACGAUCAGUAUCCGGCCUGAGAGGGCGGACGGACACACUGGGACUGAGACACGGCCCAGACUCCUACGGGAGGCAGCAGUGGGAAUUGUUCGCAAUGGGCGCAAGCCUGACGACGCAACGCCGCGUGGAGGAUGAAGGUC